rnacentral:rRNA from 1 species
GACAGAGGCCUCGAGCGUUAGGCGGAAUCACUGGGCUUAAAGCGUGUGUAGGCGGGCCCGUAAGUGUCUUGUGAAAUCCCACGGCUCAACCGUGGAGCUGCUGGGCAUACUGCGGGUCUUGGGCCAACUAGGGGCAGCCGGAACAAGCGGUGGAGCGGUGAAAUGCGUAGAUAUCGCUUGGAACGCCGAAGGUGAAAACAGGCUGCUGGGGUUGCGCCGACGCUGAGACACGAAAGCCAGGGGAGCAAACGGG